rnacentral:rRNA from 1 species
GACGAACGCUGGCGGCGUGCUUAACACAUGCAAGUCGAACGGAAAGGCCCUGCUUUUGUGGGGUGCUCGAGUGGCGAACGGGUGAGUAACACGUGAGUAACCUGCCCUUGAUUUUGGGAUAACUUCAGGAAACUGGGGCUAAUACCGGAUAGGAGCUCCUGCUGCAUGGUGGGGGUUGGAAAGUUUCGGCGGUUGGGGAUGGACUCGCGGCUUAUGAGCUUGUUGGUGGGGUAGUGGCUUACCAAGGCAUUGAAGGGUAGCCGGCCUGAGUGGGUGACCGGCCACAUUGGGUCUGAGAUACGGCCCAGACUCCUACGGGAGGCAGCAGUGGGGAAUAUUGCACAAUGGGCGGAAGCCUGAUGCAGCAACGCCGCGUGCGGGAUGACGGCCUUCGGGUUGUAAACCGCUUUCGCCUGUGACGAAGCGUGAGUGACGGUAAUGGGUAAAGAAGCACCGGCUAACUACGUG